UACGGAGGGUGCAAGCGUUAUCCGGAUUCACUGGGUUUAAAGGGUGCGUAGGUGGGAAUGUAAGUCAGUGGUGAAAUCUCCGUGCUUAACAUGGAAACUGCCAUUGAUACUAUUUAUCUUGAAUACUUUGGAGGUAAGCGGAAUAUGUCAUGUAGCGGUGAAAUGCUUAGAUAUGACAUAGAACACCAAUUGCGAAGGCAGCUUACUACACAGUUAUUGACACUGAGGCACGAAAGCGUGGGGAUCAAACAGG
rnacentral:rRNA from 1 species